AUUGAACGCUGGCGGAAUGCUUUACACAUGCAAGUCGAACGGCAGCACGGGGGCAGCCCUGGUGGCGAGUGGCGAACGGGUGAGUAAUACAUCGGAACGUGCCCGGUCGUGGGGGAUAACGUAUCGAAAGUUACGCUAAUACCGCAUACGAUCUGAGGAUGAAAGCGGGGGACCUUCGGGCCUCGCGCGAUCGGAGCGGCCGAUGUCAGAUUAGGUAGUUGGUGGGGUAAAGGCCUACCAAGCCGACGAUCUGUAGCUGGUCUGAGAGGACGACCAGCCACACUGGGACUGAGACACGGCCCAGACUCCUACGGGAGGCAGCAGUGGGGAAUUUUGGACAAUGGGCGCAAGCCUGAUCCAGCCAUUCCGCGUGCAGGACGAAGGCCUUCGGGUUGUAAACUGCUUUUGUACGGAACGAAAAGGCUCUGGCUAAUACCUGGGGCUCAUGACGGUACCGUAAGAAUAAGCACCGGCUAACUACGUG
rnacentral:rRNA from 1 species